CGAUCCUGACGAAAUAGCCAAGCUAAUAGCCCAGCUGAAAUUGGGCAAAGCCCCAGGGCCCGACCUGAUCCCUGCUGAAGCCAUCAAACUACACCCAAAAUGGUGGGCUGGCAUCUUGGCCAAAACCUUCGACGCAAUCAACGCUUCUGGUAUCAUCCCCAAAAUAUGGAAGGAGGCCAUUAUAGUACCAAUUCAUAAAAAGGUUCUCCAAUGGAGCCGGAAAAUUACCGUAACAUCAGCCUCCUUUCGAUCAUAGGGAAAAUUUAUGCCAGCUUUUUGCUGACGAAACUAUCGCGAUGGGUAGAUGAGACUAACCAGAUUGGCCACGAACAAGCAGGGUUCAGAAUUAAACGCUCUACAACUGAUCAUGCGAUAGUUCUUUACCAUCUGGCACGGAAGUACUCCUCCCCUCCCCGGGCUAUCUGUGUGCUGCCUUCUUAGAUCUUAAGGCAGCCUUCGACAGCGUUCCUAGAAAUAUUCUUUGGGAGAAACUUGCGAAACAGGGCAUCGAUAGAAGGCUCUUAUGGCUUAUAAGUCAGCUCCACGAAGGUACCCUUGCCAGAGUGAGACUUACUCCUGCGGGCGACCUCACAAAUUCGAUACCAAUAAACAAGGGAGUGCGCCAAGGAUGUAUAUUGGCCCCCUGCCUAUUCAAUCUAUUCAUCAGCGACAUGCGAGCACCCCUAGUCAACUCAUCUCCAAGUACACAUGCGCCUAGACUAGCGGAUUACCGCUGUCCACUCCUUUUAUAUGCGGACGACGCGGUAAUUCUAUCUUAUACACGUGUUGGACUAACCAGAGCUCUGAAGAUCUUUGCCACGUAUUGUCAACUCAACCAAUUAACCAUCAAUCAUGCUAAAUCUAAGAUUCUGAUUUUCGCCAGAAGUCGGAGAUUAUACGAAUGGAAGCUUGGUGGAGCAAAAAUAGAGCAAGUCCUAAAAUUUCAAUACCUAGGAGUUAUUUUUCAAUACAAUUUGGGGUGGAAAGCACAUAUUCAACACCUACUUAAUAAGGCCAAAACUCUGUCAUAUGCGCUCCUCCGAUUUUUCUUUUCGGAUGGAGCUUUGCAUGUUCCCUCGGCCCUAAAGGUGUUCAAGGCAAAAGUGGUUCCCGUGCUUGCUUAUGCUGCCCCGCUCUGGGUCGUGAUGACAGACCUUGCUCCUCUUGAGACUUUGCAAAACCAAUUCCUACGUCGGCUCCUAAUGCUCCCCUGUGCGUAAGCAACGCAGCCAUGCGUUUAGAAUUGAGGAUCGCAUCCUUAGAAACCUGCCUGUGGAAGCAAGUCUUCAAUUAUUGGUUAUCAUUGUGGCAUAGAUUACCAGACCAUUACCUUGCCCAAUGCUUAUGGCGAGAUGAAUUCCCCAGCCUUUGGACCAGUAGAAUUCAUGCCAAACUCCUGAGCUAUGGAAUCUCUCCCUUAGAUUCCCUAAAACUAGAUCAAAUCACUGCUCAAAGACUGAUCCGCCAAAGACUGGAUGACAUCGAUUUACAGCAAAAUUAUAUGCUGGGGGGAGGUGUUUGUUCGCCCCAGAACAUUGGUAUCACUUUAACUUAUUGCGUUCCAUCAUACCUCUCCUCCCUUUCGACUGUUGCCCAUAGGCUGGCCUUCACCAAAGCGAGGUUUAAUGUUUUCCCUCCAAUGUCCUGAGACAUAGAUUCUCAAAGGGCCAAACCUCCGCCAUGUGCGAAUGUGAUAAGGAGAUGCCGGAGUCGCUUCAGCACAUUAUGUUCACUUGCCCCUUAUUUAAGGUGCCACGGGCAAACUUGUUGGGAUCAAUCAUACAGAAAUUAGAGGGUACUCCACCAAAAUUCCACCUUGCCCAAAUCUUGCAGGAUAAGGAUGCCCAUACGACCCUGAAAGUGGCUAGGUUCCUGGUCGCUGUCCUUACCCAAAAGCGUUGCCAAGGAGCACCACAAGCUAAUUAAGGCGUAGUAUGCCAUUCCAUCUUAUAGUAGCUUAUUGUUAUAGUAGUGUUUUAGCGGCUGUUUUUUUCCCAUGUGCACAGGCUGUUAUUUAUGUCUUGUUUUUAUCUGUAUGGGCCUACGGCCGUAAUAAAUUAUUAUUAUUAU